rnacentral:rRNA from 1 species
AAAUUGAAGAGUUUGAUCAUGGCUCAGAUUGAACGCUGGCGGCAGGCCUAACACAUGCAAGUCGAACGGUAACAGGAAGAAGCUUGCUUCUUUGCUGACGAGUGGCGGACGGGUGAGUAAUGUCUGGGAAACUGCCUGAUGGAGGGGGAUAACUACUGGAAACGGUAGCUAAUACCGCAUAACGUCGCAAGACCAAAGAGGGGGACCUUCGGGCCUCUUGCCAUCGGAUGUGCCCAGAUGGGAUUAGCUAGUAGGUGGGGUAACGGCUCACCUAGGCGACGAUCCCUAGCUGGUCUGAGAGGAUGACCAGCCACACUGGAACUGAGACACGGUCCAGACUCCUACGGGAGGCAGCAGUGGGGAAUAUUGCACAAUGGGCGCAAGCCUGAUGCAGCCAUGCCGCGUGUAUGAAGAAGGCCUUCGGGUUGUAAAGUACUUUCAGCGGGGAGGAAGGGAGUAAAGUUAAUACCUUUGCUCAUUGACGUUACCCGCAGAAGAAGCACCGGCUAACUCCGUGCCAGCAGCCGCGGUAAUACGGAGGGUGCAAGCGUUAAUCGGAAUUACUGGGCGUAAAGCGCACGCAGGCGGUUUGUUAAGUCAGAUGUGAAAUCCCCGGGCUCAACCUGGGAACUGCAUCUGAUACUGGCAAGCUUGAGUCUCGUAGAGGGGGGUAGAAUUCCAGGUGUAGCGGUGAAAUGCGUAGAGAUCUGGAGGAAUACCGGUGGCGAAGGCGGCCCCCUGGACGAAGA